GAUGAACGCUGGCGGCGUGCCUAAUACAUGCAAGUCGAGCGAACAGAUGAGAAGCUUGCUUCUCUGAUGUUAGCGGCGGACGGGUGAGUAACACGUGGGUAACCUACCUAUAAGACUGGGAUAACUCCGGGAAACCGGGGCUAAUACCGGAUAAUAUUUUGAACCGCAUGGUUCAAUAGUGAAAGACGGGUUCGGCUGUCACUUAUAGAUGGACCCGCGCCGUAUUAGCUAGUUGGUAAGGUAACGGCUUACCAAGGCGACGAUAUGUAGCCGACCUGAGAGGGUGAUCGGCCACACUGGAACUGAGACACGGUCCAGACUCCUACGGGAGGCAGCAGUAGGGAAUCUUCCGCAAUGGGCGAAAGCCUGACGGAGCAACGCCGCGUGAGUGAUGAAGGUCUUCGGAUCGUAAAACUCUGUUGUUAGGGAAGAACAAAUUUGUUAGUAACUGAACAAGUCUUGACGGUACCUAACCAGAAAGCCACGGCUAACUACGUGCCAGCCGCCGCAGUAA
rnacentral:rRNA from 1 species